rnacentral:lncRNA from 1 species
AAUUCAAGUUACUCUAAUAUUACAUUAUUGAUACAAUAAAGUAUAUUCAUAGGUUGCUAGGUAGAAAAUAGGUUACUCUCUUCUUUUUGCAGAUGGUGAAACUGAGGCUCAGGGAUUCAAGAAAAUUGUGCAAUUUGACAUCAGAAAUCAGGGUGAAGACGCCUGAGGAAGGUGAGGAGGGAAGCAGGCCUACAAAGAAGGAUGGGGGCAGGCCCAAUGUUCCCAACUGGAAUUGAAAAGGAACCAACUCAUCAGGUUUCUCAGUCACCCUGAGACCGGCUACUUUUGAAGAGUUAAAUCGGAAGGAAAACGCAGUUUGGAAGACGGUGUUUUACAAAAAAAUAGAAAAGAAACUGCUUGAUUUAUGUGAUCU